rnacentral:rRNA from 1 species
UGCCGGAGGCCAUUGCUAUCAGGGUUUGACUAAGCCAUGCGAGUCGAGAGGUGUAAGACCUCGGCAUACUGCUCAGUAACACGUGGUUAACCUGCCCUAAGGUGGAGAAUACUCCCGGGAAACUGGGGCUAAUGCUCCAUAGUGGAUAUGUCCUGGAAUGGUAUAUCCUCGAAAGAUCCGUCGCCUUAGGAUGGGACUGCGUCCGAUUAGGUUGUUGGCGGGGUAACGGCCCACCAAGCCUUUUAUCGGUACGGGUUGUGGGAGCAAGAUCCCGGAGAUGGAUUCUGAGACAUGAAUCCAGGCCCUACGGGGCGCAGCAGGCGCGCAAACUUUACAAUGCGAGCAAUCGUGAUAAGGAAACCCUGAGUGCCUGUCGAUGCAGGCUGUUCAUAUAUCUAAAUCAUAUGUGAAGAAAGGGCAGGGCAAGACCGGUGCCAGCCGCCGCGGUAAUACCGGCUGCUCGAGUGAUGGCCACUAUUACUGGGUUUAAAGCGUCCGUAGCUUGACUGUUAGGUCUCUUGGGAAAUCUUCGCGCUCAACGUGAAGGCGUCUAAGAGAUACCGGCAGUCUUGGAACUGGGAGAGGUAAACCGUACUUCGGGGGUAGGAGUGAAAUCUUGUAAUCCUCGAGGGACGACCUAUGGCGAAG